rnacentral:rRNA from 1 species
AGCUUCCCUCACGCUUCUUUUUCACCGGAGCUUGCUCCACCGGAAAAAGAGGAGUGGCGAACGGGUGAGUAACACGUGGGUAACCUGCCCAUCAGAAGGGGAUAACACUUGGAAACAGGUGCUAAUACCGUAUAACAAUCAAAACCGCAUGGUUUUGAUUUGAAAGGCGCUUUCGGGUGUCGCUGAUGGAUGGACCCGCGGUGCAUUAGCUAGUUGGUGAGGUAACGGCUCACCAAGGCCACGAUGCAUAGCCGACCUGAGAGGGUGAUCGGCCACAUUGGGACUGAGACACGGCCCAAACUCCUACGGGAGGCAGCAGUAGGGAAUCUUCGGCAAUGGACGAAAGUCUGACCGAGCAACGCCGCGUGAGUGAAGAAGGUUUUCGGAUCGUAAAACUCUGUUGUUAGAGAAGAACAAGGAUGAGAGUAACUGUUCAUCCCUUGACGGUAU